rnacentral:rRNA from 1 species
GUCUAUGGCCAUGCCACCCUGAACAAGCCUGAUCUCGUCUGAUCUCGGAAGCUAAGGAGGGUUGGGCCUGGUUAGUACUUGGAUGGGAGAUCACCUAGGUAGACCAGUUGCUGUAGGCG